AAUUUCACACCUGGAUCUGCUCAGUCAACCAAGAAUCUAGAGAAAGAGCUUCUGCCCUGAAACACAGGGAAAAAUAUAUAUAUAUCCUCCACUGCUUCUUUUCACUCUAGAUUUCCUUAGACUCUCGCCUCUGCCUAACAGGUUUGCACGGGGG
rfam:Ophiophagus hannah scaffold1679.1, whole genome shotgun sequence.